GAUGAACGCUGGCGGCGUGCCUAAUACAUGCAAGUCGAGCGAACGGACGAGAAGCUUGCUUCUCUGAUGUUAGCGGCGGACGGGUGAGUAACACGUGGAUAACCUACCUAUAAGACUGGGAUAACUUCGGGAAACCGGAGCUAAUACCGGAUAAUAUUUUGAACCGCAUGGUUCAAAAGUGAAAGACGGUCUUGCUGUCACUUAUAGAUGGAUCCGCGCCGCAUUAGCUAGUUGGUAAGGUAACGGCUUACCAAGGCAACGAUGCGUAGCCGACCUGAGAGGGUGAUCGGCCACACUGGAACUGAGACACGGUCCAGACUCCUACGGGAGGCAGCAGUAGGGAAUCUUCCGCAAUGGGCGAAAGCCUGACGGAGCAACGCCGCGUGAGUGAAGAAGGUCUUCGGAUCGUAAAACUCUGUUAUUAGGGAAGAACAAAUGUGUAAGUAACUAUGCACGUCUUGACGGUACCUAAUCAGAAAGCCACGGCUAACUACGUG
rnacentral:rRNA from 1 species